UAGGGAAUAUUGCGCAAUGGGGGAAACCCUGACGCAGCGAUACCGUGUGAGGGAGGAAGGUCUUCGGAUUGUAAACCUCUGUCAAAAGGGACAAAUGGAUACAUGAAUAAUGUAUAUUGAUGGUACCUUUAAAGGAAGCACCGGCUAACUCCGUGCCAGCAGCCGCGGUAAUACGGAGGGUGCAAGCGUUGUUCGGAAUCAUUGGGCGUAAAGCGCGCGCAGGCGGGAUUGUGUGUAAGAUGUGAAAGCUCGGGGCCUAACCCCGAAAGUGCGUCUUAAACUGCAAUUCUAGAAUGUCGGAGGGGGAUGGGGAAUUUCUCAUGUAGGGGUAAAAUCCGUAGAGAUGAGAAGGAACACCUGAGGCGAAGGCGCCAUCCUGGACGAAUAUUGACGCUGAGGCGCGAAAGCGUGGGGAGCAAACAGG
rnacentral:rRNA from 1 species